rnacentral:tRNA from 1 species
GCAUUCGUAGCUCAGUUGGUGAGAGCGCCGGGGAGACCCGGAGGUCACCGGUUCGAUUCCGGUCGGGUGCA